rnacentral:rRNA from 1 species
GACAGAGGCCUCAAGCGUUAGGCGGAAUCACUGGGCUUAAAGCGUGUGUAGGCGGACGCCUAAGUGUCUUGUGAAAUCCCCCGGCUCACCCGGGGAACUGCUGGGCAUACUGGGCGUCUUGGGCCAACUAGGGGCAACUGGAACAAGCGGUGGAGCGGUGAAAUGCGCAGAUAUCAGGAGGAAUACCAGCGGCGAAGGCGGCGCUCUGGGCCGGUACUGACGCUGAGGAGCGAAAGCGUGGGGAGCAAACAGG